rnacentral:rRNA from 1 species
CCUACGGGUGGCUGCAGUGGGGAAUAUUGGACAAUGGGGGCAACCCUGAUCCAGCCAUGCCGCGUGUGUGAAGAAGGCCCUCGGGUUGUAAAGCACUUUCAGUGAGGAAGAACGCCUGGUGGUUAAUACCCAUCAGGAAAGACAUCACUCACAGAAGAAGCACCGGCUAACUCCGUGCCAGCAGCCGCGGUAAUACGGAGGGUGCGAGCGUUAAUCGGAAUUACUGGGCGUAAAGCGCGCGUAGGUGGCUUGAUAAGCCGGUUGUGAAAGCCCCGGGCUCAACCUGGGAACGGCAUCCGGAACUGUCAAGCUAGAGUGCAGGAGAGGAAGGUAGAAUUCCCGGUGUAGCGGUGAAAUGCGUAGAGAUCGGGAGGAAUACCAGUGGCGAAGGCGGCCUUCUGGACUGACACUGACACUGAGGUGCGAAAGCGUGGGUAGCAAACAGGAUUAGAUACCCCACUAGUC